CGACAGGACUUCUGCUUUCUUUGCAGCCCAUGGGAAAAUCUUCCAACAGAAAAUAGCUUUUUGGCCCCUCUGAUUAUGAUUUUUCUGCUGAUUCUUGCUUCCUUGGGAGAAACUAAAGGAGCAACCUUCUUCUAUGUCUUUGAGCCAAGAGAUCAAUGGAUGACCUGCAACAGCUCAAGCAACAACACUUCGGCAGUCUGGUGGGCUGGAACACAUUGCCUAUUUUUGCAGACGUUUCAAAAGGUGCCUGAUUACGAAACUGGAAAUCCUUGUGGAGGAAGAAAGAAAGAAUUUAUACAAGGGAAGAUACACAUUUCUGCUUCCUGGGGUGGUGGAAUAUUUGCAUGCAGAACACGGACGUCUAACAACAUGGGUGAUGUUACUCCACUUUUUACCAAGACAGAGCACUGCAGGGAUUUCAACUUCCUUAUUGUAGCAAUGAUAAACAGCACAGAAGGGGAUAUAAUUACGAGUUCAGAGCAGUCUGAGAAAAUGAAAACUAUUAAAGAAAAUGAUACUCUCACUCUUUCCUGUGANUUUACACUGAAGAAUUUAUCCCUGUUUGCCGUCUAUUGGAUUAAGGAAAGUGAAACAACCACCUGUCUACUCUCUAUUAUAAAUGAAGACGUCAAAGAACACAAUGACACAGGCUGUUGUGUUGACCCUAGUGUAAAAGAGAGACGGAGGUUUAAUACAUCAGGCAAGCUAGAGAAAGCUCAGAAACAUACGCUUACAAUCUUCAAUAUCACUACGUCUGAUAGUGGAAAGUACUUAUGUGUGGUCAAUACACACUACAAGAAACACGUGUGGAAGAUUGUACGUAACAUAUCUGUGCAGGUGGAGCUUCAUCUGAAUUCAAAAGUAUCGGCUUUUAUAUACGGGCUACAGAUCUUCUUGGGUGUGAUUGGCAGCAUCAUUCUAAUUGGUGGGAUCAUGUUCCUUUGCUGGAGGAAGCAUUCAAAAGGAAAACCACCUGAAGGGCUUCAAAGGCAGGAAGUUGCAAAUGAAAUAGAAGAUGAC
rnacentral:lncRNA from 1 species